rnacentral:rRNA from 1 species
UGGGGAAUAUUGCACAAUGGGCGCAAGCCUGAUGCAGCCAUGCCGCGUGUAUGAAGAAGGCCUUCGGGUUGUAAAGUACUUUCAGCGGGGAGGAAGGGAGUAAAGUUAAUACCUUUGCUCAUUGACGUUACCCGCAGAAGAAGCACCGGCUAACUCCGUGCCAGCAGCCGCGGUAAUACGGAGGGUGCAAGCGUUAAUCGGAAUUACUGGGCGUAAAGCGCACGCAGGCGGUUUGUUAAGUCAGAUGUGAAAUCCCCGGGCUCAACCUGGGAACUGCAUCUGAUACUGGCAGGCUUGAGUCUCGUAGAGGGGGGUAGAAUUCAAGGUGUAGCGGUGAAAUGCGUAGAGAUCUGGAGGAAUACCGGUGGCGAAGGCGGCCCCCUGGACGAAGACUGACGCUCAGGUGCGAAGGCGUGGGGAGCAAACAGG